AACUAUUUUCAGAGCAAAUGGACCUCUGAAAAGAAAAGCCUUUUUUUUUCAUUCUCUUCUCAAAAUUUCCACAAAUUCUUGGUUGAAUCUCUCAAGGAAUGGGCACCCCGUCGGAGAGGAUUACCGGAACGUUCGUCUAGCGCAUACUAUCUCACCUGCUGCCUCGCCGUGGAGUUCGGGUGGUGGGAAAGUUGUGAUGAAUCUUUACAAGUUAGAUCGGUGCUAUGAACAAGAUGUAUAUAUAUAUAUAUAUAUAUAUUUUUGUGCCACAAGGAGAUAAGGCCAUUGUUUGAUGGUGUAUGCUGUGGAAAAAAUGCAUGUGUUCUUGGUUAUAGAGUUCGUGGAAGUGGUAAAAUCAUAAGAAAUUCAGGGCUCUGAGAAGAAUCCUGGGUUAGCACCAUUGGCUGUCUUUGAGCAUCUAGCUGUCUUCAAGCAUCUAUCACUUGUCAAGGAAAGUGAAGGUUCACUGAGCACAUUAUGUUUUGAAAUUAAUCAAAACCAUAUAUAGUUUUGGAAAUGAAAGCACUAGAUUUGCUUAUUUUGGACAAUGUCGGAAGAAGGAUUCAGCUCACGGGCCUUCGUCAGGUUGCAGUGAAUUCAGUUUUAGAUCUUGAAAGAAUGUACUUUAGUAGAUGCAACUCAGGGAGAGCUGUAAAGGCUUGAUUAUUAUCUAUGUUGCUAUUGUGGACAAGGAAACAAACACCAACCAUCUAGGGGAAUAUACACUUUAUUGAUUUAGCAAGUGAUUUUUAUCCUCAUGUUUGAUUUCUAAUCCGAUUUUCUUUCCUUAGCAGCUUCUCUGCUUUCAUUUUCAGGUUAUGAGACUAAAAUUAAUUGUUUCAAUUACUAAAUGUUGUUUAUGUAUUGAAUGCAAAUGAAACCUUUGUUCCCCAUGCUGUGCUGAUUACUUGCUCGGUGAAGCAUAUUUGUUAAAAGCGAUUGAAUUGCACCUUAUGAUCACUUCGUGAUGGAUAUUUUCAAGAUAUGUUUUUUAUCGCCCUUUAUGUUAAUCAAUUUUGUAUUUCCAAUCCAGAAUCCUGGUUUAAUACUGGUCAUGUAGUUAGCAUGGGUUCUCAGUCAUGUGCAAGACUCUUCCAGAAAGCAUAAGAGGAGUCUGUGGCAACUCCUUCCAUGUCUGAUGUCCCCCUUCUACUGGUUGAACAAGCACAAUAAACUCCUCAACAAAGAGAAAUGAAUAUUAAAUAUUCAUUUUUGUCAAUGGAAAAAGAAAGGGACCAAUGGCACACCAAUGCCACAGAAAGAACCCAAUUAUUGUGCAAUUUAGUGAAGAAAGUCAAAACUUUUGACUUGGUUCUGUUGAAAAAGACUCAAAGGAUAUGGCAUUAACUCUUAUCAAAGAAAGCAUAUCGAAUUAGUUUUAUGUUCAAGAAAAGAUUUGGCUUCAUCAGGAAUGAGGCAAAGUGCAUUUUACUGGUUGUUGAAGAUUUCUUAUCAGAUGAGCAACAACUGCCAUUUAAGGGGUGCCAAAUGUCCAAAUAGAUACGGAGAUGCACCUGUUACGAUGAUUUAACGAGGAUGAGUUAACAUGCAGGACAAUGAUAAUGCGGUCGGGUGGAGAAUAUAACCGUACCUUUAAAGUGUUGAUGUACUCAUGUACUCCAGAGAGGGGAAAAAUGCAGGGUGUUGCUGCAAAAGUGCCUAAAAUUUUGCCAAAAUGCUCUUAUAAAAUAUCUAAAUUAGGUUUGGUGAUCUUGCAGAAAACGCCAUAGUGUAAAAGUUCUAUUAAGUAGGGAGUGUUUUCUAAAACUAUCAUGGAUAUGUGACAUUUCGUGUGGACAUCCUCGUUUAAUUUAAAAUUAUUUUUAAAGCCUUUUUGGUUUC